AUUGAACGCUGGCGGAAUGCUUUACACAUGCAAGUCGAGCGGCAGCGCGGCCUUCGGGCUGGCGGCGAGCGGCGAACGGGUGAGUAAUGCAUCGGAACAUGCCCAGUCGUGGGGGAUAACACUUCGAAAGAAGUGCUAAUACCGCAUACGUCCUGAGGGGGAAAGCGGGGGAUCGCAAGACCUCGCGCGAUUGGAGUGGCCGAUGUCAGAUUAGCUAGCUGGUGGGGUAAAGGCCUACCAAGGCGACGAUCUGUAGCUGGUCUGAGAGGAUGAUCAGCCACACUGGGACUGAGACACGGCCCAGACUCCUACGGGAGGCAGCAGUGGGGAAUUUUGGACAAUGGGGGCAACCCUGAUCCAGCCAUUCCGCGUGAGUGAAGAAGGCCUUCGGGUUGUAAAGCUCUUUCGGCAGGAACGAAACGGUGGGCUCUAACAUAGUCCGCUAAUGACGGUACCUGAAGAAGAAGCACCGGCUAACUACGUG
rnacentral:rRNA from 1 species